GACGAACGCUGGCGGCGUGCUUAACACAUGCAAGUCGAGCGGUAAGGCCCUUUCGGGGGUACACGAGCGGCGAACGGGUGAGUAACACGUGGGUGACCUGCCCUCAGCUCUGGGAUAAGCCUGGGAAACUGGGUCUAAUACUGGAUAUGACUCCACGGUGCAUGUCGUGGGGUGGAAAGCCUUGUGCGGCUGAGGAUGGGCCCGCGGCCUAUCAGCUUGUUGGUGGGGUGANGGCCUGCCAAGGCGACGACGGGUAGCCGGCCUGAGAGGGCGACCGGCCACACUGGGACUGAGACACGGCCCAGACUCCUACGGGAGGCAGCAGUGGGGAAUCUUGCGCAAUGGGCGAAAGCCUGACGCAGCGACGCCGCGUGAGGGAUGACGGCCU
rnacentral:rRNA from 1 species